AGUAGUUGGGAAAAAAUGAAAAAUGGAAAACCUAGAUAAUGUGAGUACCUCAGGGUCAGGGCUGGCCCAGCCAUGCAUGUUGUGCCCUGGUGUAAAUGUCCUGCUCACUUAAGCUGCAAAGAGCAGCAGCAGUUUAGGUACCACUGCAUGUCUAACAUGGUUUAUUCCCCAAGUGGGUAAGGGACCCAGACUCAAUGGAGAAUAAACUCUGAUUUUUACUGUUACUACUGUGCACAGGUACUUCAAUUCAUAUUUAUAAAGUGUGAUCUAGAUAGUGUUGUGAUGGUUUUGCAGCAGCAAUAGUCAUUAAAAUACAAACAUGAUUUCAUGUAGAAUGAGAUGUCAUCUCUGAAAUAGGACUGAAGUAACACAAGUAUCCAGUUGCAGGAAUAAAAGACUUCAUCUAGGAAGAAUGGCAACAUCGUACUCCUUAACAGACUGCGGAGAGAGGUAGAAAAGCCCUCUCCUACCCAACUUCCAAAACUAAUGAAGGAAAAUUCAGGUUAAAAAAAUGAAAAACACAUUAGUUCAGUCAGUUUACGGUUACCAAUGUAUCAGGUUUUCCCAGCUUACCCUGAACCCUGUUUCUGGAGCUUGCUGUACGUGUUUUCUUGUUCUUUCCAAUCAUUGCUUGGAUAGAGAAGCUGAAGACUGAAGCAGAAAUUUCCAGUGCCUGGUGAUUUUCUUUUCACUGGAUGUGAAUGGCAACAGGUGGCCACAACUGGUACUGUGAGAAGCUGUGUAUUCCCUCAGCACUUUGAGCCAAUGACAAUAUAAUCCUCAAUUCACAUUU